ACACAGUCUUCUAAUAAAAAAUUAACAUCAACAUCAUCAAUUAUUUUGUUAUUAAAGUGGAAAACAAAUGAACGAACAAAGCAAGAGUAAUAAAUUCCGGUGUCACGGGUUGUUGUGUGUGGGAGAGUAUGGAGAUGAGAGAGAAACAAAUUGGAUAAAUAAGAAAAGUGAAUUAGGAUUAGACAAGUGUUUCUGAUUUUUU
rnacentral:lncRNA from 1 species